rnacentral:rRNA from 1 species
GAUGAACGCUAGCGGCAGGCUUAAUACAUGCAAGUCGAGGGGUAGCAAGAUUGUAGCAAUACAAUUGUUGACGACCGGCAAACGGGUGCGGAACACGUACACAACCUUCCUACAAGUGGGGAAUAGCCCAGAGAAAUUUGGAUUAAUACCCCGUAACAUAGCGAUGUGGCAUCACAUUGCUAUUAUAGCUUCGGCGCUUGUUGAUGGGUGUGCGGCUGAUUAGAUAGUUGGCGGGGUAACGGCCCACCAAGUCUACGAUCAGUAGCUGAUGUGAGAGAAUGAUCAGCCACACGGGCACUGAGACACGGGCCCGACUCCUACGGGAGGCAGCAGUAAGGAAUAUUGGACAAUGGACGCAAGUCUGAUCCAGCCAUGCCGCGUGAAGGAUUAAGGUCCUCUGGAUUGUAAACUUCUUUUAUAUGGGGCGAAAAAAGGCCUUUCUAGGUCGUCUGACGGUACCAUAUGAAUAAGCACCGGCUAACUCCGUGCCAGCCGCCGCAGUAAGAC